rnacentral:rRNA from 1 species
AUUGAACGCUGGCGGCAGGCCUAACACAUGCACGUCGAACGAGUAGCGGACGGGUGCAUAAUGUCUGGGAAACUGGCUGAUGGAGGGGGAUAACUACUGGAAACGGUAGCUAAUACCGCAUACCAUCGGAUGUGCCCAGGUGGGAUUAGCUAGUAGGUGGGGUAACGGCUGACCUAGGCGACGAUCCCUAGCUGGUCUGAGAGGAUGACCAUCCACACGGGAACGUAGACACGGUCAAGACUCCGACGGGAGGCAGCAGUGGGGAAUAUUGCACAAUGGGCGAAAGCCUGAUGCAGCCAUGCCGCGUGUAUGAAGAAGGCCUUCGGGUUGUAAAGUACGUUCAGCGGGGAGGCGUUACCCGCAGAAGAAGCACCGGCUAACUCCGUGCCAGCAGCCGCGGUAAUAC